rnacentral:rRNA from 1 species
AAAGCAUAAGCUAAAUAAGGGCGUAUGGGGGAUGCCUAGGCUCUCAGAGGCGAAGAAGGACGUGAUAAGCUGCGAAAAGCUGCGGGGAGAAGCACAUAUUUGUUGAUCCGCAGAUAUCCGAAUGGGGCAACCCGGCAUAUUGAAGAUAUGUCACACCGCAAGGUGGGCGAACGUGGGGAACUGAAACAUCUAAGUACCCAUAGGAGAAGAAAACAACAGUGAUUCCGUUAGUAGCGGCGAGCGAACGCGGACUAGCCCAAACCGGUGCUGUUACGGCAGCAUUGGGGUUGUAGGACUACGAUAUAGUGUAAUCAAUGAAUUAGAAUCCUUUGGAAAGAGGAGCCAUAGACGGUGAUAGCCCGGUAUAGGUAAAGCGAUUAUAGUUAGUAGUAUCCUGAGUAGUGCGGGGCACGUGAAACCCUGUAUGAAUCUGGCGGGACCAUCCGCUAAGGCUAAAUACUCCUGAGAGACCGAUAGUGAACCAGUACCGUGAGGGAAAGGUGAAAAGAACCCUGAAUAAGGGAGUGAAAAAGACCCUGAAACCAUACGCUUACAAGCGGUCGGAGCCCAUUAGGGUGACGGCGUGCCUUUUGCAUAAUGAGCCUACGAGUUACUUUAUCUAGCAAGGUUAAGAUUUUUAGGAUCGGAGCCGUAGCGAAAGCGAGUCUGAAUAGGGCGAUUUAGUUAGGUUGAGUAGACGCGAAACCGUGUGAUCUACCCUUGGGCAGGUUGAAGCUUUGUUAACCCAAAGUGGAGGACCGAACCCGUUGACGUUGAAAAGUCUUGGGAUGACCUGAGGGUAGGGGUGAAAGGCCAAUCAAACUCGGAAAUAGCUCGUACUCCCCGAAAUGCAUUUAGGUGCAGCGUUGUGUUAGUUUUAUAGAGGUAGAGCUACUGAUUGGAUGCGGGGGCUUCACCGCCUACCAAUUCCUGACAAACUCCGAAUGCUAUAAAAUGAUGCACAGCAGUGAGGGCAUGGGUGCUAAGGUCCAUGUCCGAGAGGGAAAGAACCCAGACCAUCAGCUAAGGUCCCAAAAUAUAUGCUAAGUUGAAUAAACGCGGUUGAACUGCUUAGACAGCUAGGAUGUUGGCUUGGAAGCAGCCAUUCAUUUAAAGAGUGCGUAACAGCUCACUAGUCGAGCGGUUCGGCAUGGAUAAUAAUCGGGCAUAAGCAUAUUACCGAAGCUAUGGGAUAUUUAUAUCGGUAGGGGAGCAUUGUAGUGACGUUGAAGGUGAUUCGUGAGGAUUGCUGGAGUAGCUACAAAAGAAAAUGUAGGCAUAAGUAACGAUAAUGCGGGCGAGAAACCCGCACACCGAAAGACUAAGGUUUCCUCAGCUAUGCUAAUCAGCUGAGGGUUAGUCGGGACCUAACGCGAACCCGAAAGGGGUAGUGGAUGGCCAACGGGUUAAUAUUCCCGUACCUGCCGGAAUUAAAAGUGACGGAGGCGAAUAGAUGUUGCGUACUGACGGAAUAGUACGUUGAAGGGAACAGUAAUGUCCUGAUAGUACACGGAGGCUACGGCCGAAGUGAUAAUACAUCGAAUCGACUUCCAAGAAAAGCGAUCCAGGCAGCCCGUACCAUAAACCGACACAGGUAGUUGGGAUGAGAAUUCUAAGGUGCUCGAGAGAUUCAUGGCUAAGGAACUAGGCAAAAUAGACCUGUAACUUCGGGAGAAAGGUCGCCCCGAGCAAUCGGGGCCGCAGUGAAAAGGUCCAGGCGACUGUUUAUCAAAAACACAGGGCUAUGCGAAAUCGAAAGAUGAAGUAUAUGGCCUGACACCUGCCCGGUGCCGGAAGGUUAAGGGGAGACGUUAGCAUUAGCGAAGCGUUGAACUGAAGCCCCGGUAAACGGCGGCCGUAACUAUAACGGUCCUAAGGUAGCGAAAUUCCUUGUCGGGUAAGUUCCGACCUGCACGAAUGGUGCAACGAUCUGGACACUGUCUCAGCCAUGAGCUCGGUGAAAUUGUAGUAUCGGUGAAGAUGCCGGUUACCCGCUGUGGGACGAAAAGACCCCGUGAACCUUUACUAUAGCUUAGUAUUGACUUUGGAUAAGUAAUGUGUAGGAUAGGUGGGAGACUUUGAAGCGGCAUCGCCAGGUGUUGUGGAGUCAUUGUUGAAAUACCACCCUUUGCUUAUCUGAAGCCUAACCCCUGUAAGGGGGACAGUGCUUGGUGGGUAGUUUGACUGGGGUGGUCGCCUCCAAAAGAGUAACGGAGGCUUCUAAAGGUCUGCUCAGUACGGUUGG